UACGAAGGGGGCUAGCGUUGUUCGGAAUCACUGGGCGUAAAGGGCGCGUAGGCGGCCGUUCAAGUCGGGGGUGAAAGCCUGUGGCUCAACCACAGAAUUGCCUUCGAUACUGUACGGCUCGAGACCGGAAGAGGUAAGUGGAACUGCGAGUGUAGAGGUGAAAUUCGUAGAUAUUCGCAAGAACACCAGUGGCGAAGGCGGCUUACUGGUCCGGUUCUGGACGCUGAGGCGCGAAAGCGUGGGGAGCAAACGGGG
rnacentral:rRNA from 1 species